AACUUUCCCAUCAAUCAAACAACUCUUAAUUUUGUUCCAAUUCUUAGUAUUAUUCACCCUCUUCUGCAGCCAGUUUGAGUAAUCACCCAAUCUGUACUCCUUGUAUCGCCUUUCAGACACCACCUUUCCGGCCCCUUUGUUGGUAACUACAAAAGCAAAUAUUGUGAAGCAGAAGAGCAACACAAUCAGAAGGAACAUGACAAAGAGGUACAACCAGAGUAGCCACGACACGCGACAGCACG
rnacentral:misc_RNA from 1 species